GGUGCAUGGUUGUCGUCAGCUCGUGUCGUGAGAUGUUGGGUUAAGUCCCGCAACGAGCGCAACCCUCGACCUUAGUUGCCAGCAUUCAGUUGGGCACUCUAAGGUGACUGCCGGCUAAAAGUCGGAGGAAGGUGGGGAUGACGUCAAAUCAUCAUACCCCUUAUGACCUGGGCUACACACGUGCUACAAUGGGCGGUACAAAGGGUCGCGAACCCGCGAGGGGGAGCCAAUCCCAAAAAAGCCGCUCUCAGUUCGGAUUGCAGGCUGCAACUCGCCUGCAUGAAGCCGGAAUCGCUAGUAAUCGCGGAUCAGCAUGCCGCGGUGAAUACGUUCCCGGGCCUU
rnacentral:rRNA from 1 species